CGGAGGGUGUCAAGCGUUUAUCCGGAUUCACUGGGUUUAAGGGUGCGUAGGAGGGCAGGUAAGUCAGUGGUGAAAUCCCCGAGUCUUAACUUGGGAACUGCCGUUGAUACUAUCUGUCUUGAAUAUUGUGGAGGUAAGCGGAAUAUGUCAUGUAGCGGUGAAAUGCUUAGAUAUGACAUAGAACACCAAUUGCGAAGGCAGCUUGCUACACAACUAUUGACUCUGAUGCACGAAAGCGUGGGGAUCAAACAGGAUUAGAUACCCUGGUAGUCCACGCCCUAAACGAUGGAUACUCGACAUCAGCGAUACACAGUUGGUGUCUGAGCGAAAGCAUUAAGUAUCCCACCUGGGAAGUACGACCGCAAGGUUG
rnacentral:rRNA from 1 species